rnacentral:rRNA from 1 species
UAAUACGGAGGAUGCAAGCGUUAUCCGGAUUUAUUGGGUUUAAAGGGUCCGUAGGCGGGCUAAUAAGUCAGUGGUGAAAUCAAGCAGCUUAACUGUUUAACUGCCAUUGAUACUGUUAGUCUUGAGUGAAUUUGAAGUUGCCGGAAUAUGUAGUGUAGCGGUGAAAUGCAUAGAUAUUACAUAGAACACCUAUUGCGAAGGCAGGUAACUAAGAUUUAACUGACGCUGAUGGACGAAAGCGUGGGGAGCGAACAGG